rnacentral:rRNA from 1 species
CCUACGGGAGGCAGCAGUGGGGAAUAUUGCACAAUGGGGGAAACCCUGAUGCAGCGACGCCGCGUGAGUGAAGAAUUAUCUCGGUAUGUAAAGCUCUAUCAGUAGGGAAGUAAAUGACGGUACCUGAUUCAGAAGCCCCGGCUAACUACGUGCCAGCAGCCGCGGUACUACGUAGGGGGCAAGCGUUAUCCGGAUUUACUGGGUGUAAAGGGAGCGUAGACGGCAGGACAAGUCAGGAGUGAAAUGCCGGGGCUUAACCCUGGAACUGCAUGGGAAACUGUGCAGCUAGAGUGCAGGAGAGGUAAGUGGAAUUCGUGGUGUAGCGGUGAAAUGCGUAGAUAUUAGGAGGAACCCCAGUGGCGAAGGCGGCUUACUGGACUGUAACUGACGUUGAGGCUCGAAAGCGUGGGGAGCAAACAGGAUUAGAUACCCUGGUAGUC